rnacentral:rRNA from 1 species
GACGAACGCUGGCGGCGUGCCUAAUACAUGCAAGUCGAACGCAUUUUCUUUCACCGUAGCUUGCUACACCGAAAGAAAAUGAGUGGCGAACGGGUGAGGAACACGUUGGUAACCUGCCCAUCAGCGGGGGAUAACACUUGGAAACAGGUGCUAAUACCGCAUAAUUCCAUUUACCGCAUGGUAGAUAGAUGAAAGGCGCUUUUGCGUCACUGAUGGAUGGACCGGCGGUGCAUUAGCUAGAUGGUGGGGUAACGGCCUACCAAGGCGGCGAUGCAUAGCCGAUAUGAGAGGAAGAUGAGACAGACUGGAACUGAGACAGGGCGCGGACUGAGACGGGAGGAAGCAGUGGGGAAUUGUGGAGAAGGGGGGCAACCCUGAUACAGCGAUGCAGAGUGGGGGAAGAAGGCAUUGGGGUUGUAAACCGCUUUUGUUGGGAAAGAAAUGCAGUGGGAGAAUACCCCGCGGGGAUGACGGUACCGAAAGAAUAAGCACGGGCUAACUACGUG